AAACACACCCUUCACUCGUGCGCCGGUGCCUCCAGUGUCAGAAGACAGUGUUUAACAGAGGCGAUUUACAAGACCUGAACAACUCUACCUACAGACGUGAUCUGUGAUUUUCAACACAAAGCCCUCACAUCUCAUGAGACUGGUUGCAUUAUGAGAGCUCGCUACCUGUUCCUAUUGGUUUACCUACUGGGGAGCUCCUUUGCAGGAUCCAGUGCACAGAGUAAUGGAGUAUGCACAAAAGAUGCCUGCACACAGGUCCCAGACGCCACCUCGAACUUCUUACAGUGUGUGGGCCUGCCUUCGACAGACACGGGCGCAGAUGAAAUGCGAAAGCUGAAAGGAAUUCUUGAAGCCACAAUGGAUGUGUACACGUUUAUGGUAUGACUUCAACAAGCAUUCAGCAGAAGAACAGAUGUUACAAAUUCCAGUAUGACCAGUCAGGGAUGGACUAAGUUUGUUUUUUUAUUCUGUCACAACACUGACAUUAUUUGUUGGUCACUAACUUAUAAAUCCUGUUGACAGUAGGUUUCAUGUAAGCAGAUGAAUGCUGAGUAGCUUAUUGGUGAAACGUGUGAGUAUAAAGCCUCUCCAUCACUGUUGCCACAGAAAUCAAGCAUGACAAGAGGACCAAUUUUGAGUGUGGAGGGCGCUCUGGAAUUAGACUUGACUGCAGACGCUCUACAAAAUCAAGAUCUGGUCAGGAUGUGGUUGGAGGUCAACAUGAAACCGCUCCUGAAAUCCAUCACCAAGCAGUUCUUGUCCUGUCUCAGCACCAGGAACUUCAGCUGCUCCACCUACCAGACUGUAGUGGAGGAGCUCAGUCAACACUAUUCUGAGAUGGAUCCAGUCAGGCAAAAGUGGAUCUACACAUUCUUUAUGUACCCGUUCCUGUCUUCGGCAACAGUUGAUGGCUGUGUGAGGCCAGAUGAGGGCAGUGUGGAGUGGCUGAUGAAGAACUUUGGUGCCUUCAGUGUCAUGGCCCGCUUGAAGGACUUUUCAGAGCUCAAUGAGGUCUUCAAUGGACUGGAGGUUCUUAACUUGUUGUCUCCAGCACAAAAGGCCGAGCUGCUCAUGAGCCCUUAUGUUGCCAGUUUAGACAAUGGCACAUUAGCCUUGGUCUUCCACAGUCUGCUAACAGGGGAAUCUGGCCCAUCACCCACUGCUGGCCCUGGAUGGGGCCCCAACUGGACAACCCCUGGGUACCCACCCUCCUAUCCAGUACAGCUGUCACAUCAGCCAGGCCUCCAACAGGUCGUAAAUGGAUUCAUGUCAGCCUUCAAACCCAUCGGGAGCUUUGUUCAUAAUUUUGUGUCCUUCACACGUGAGAGAAAUCCGUCAAAUAUAAGAAGCACCACUUUGACCCAGUUCCUGCUCAACUGGACUCUUUCUGAGCUGGCUGGCAAAUACCAGCCAAGCGCACCUGAGGUCCCAGAGGGACCUAACUUUGAUGUGACAAAUGUAGUAGACUGGUAUCAUUACGUUGUGAAGCCGCUGUUACGGAGGUUUUUGCCCGAUGAAGAACUCCUGAUGCAUGAAAACAUCACGCUCGCUUUCCACGAAGUGUUCCGUCUGGACAACAGUAUGGACAACAUGACGGUGAUUGAAAUCCAGGAUGUCUGUAGCAUCACCCUCGAUAAGAGCCCUUGCGGGCUGACCGACGCGGUGGCAAACGUGGCUCAUGUCUUGCACUGCGCUGCUCGUAACAACCUGACCAUGACAGAAGCCGUCGUCUUGAAGCUGGUUCUAGAGCUGACUCAACGUCUGAACUUGCUGAUCAAGGAGCUCUCCACAGCAAACUUCACGCAGUUGGAAUCCGAGUUUAAGCAGAUCUUCAGCGAGUCAAACUCAGCAACUCUGACCCAGGAGCACCUGACGGACCCAGCUUUCAUCCAGCUCUGGUUCAAGGUCAAGCUGCUGCCCCUCCUGCCCGACGUACAGCCAGAGCUCCUCUCCUGCCUCAGCACCAAGAACUUUUCUUGCCCCGUUUACCAAACCCUUGUGGCGGCGCUCAGUGAACGCAUGAACUUUUUGGAUGCUGAUCCGAUGUACAGCAGCAACAUCUACGAGUACUUCAUCUACCCCUUCCUGCUAAAUCACAACACCUCGGACCCCCAGUGUGUCUCUGCAGUUAAUAACAGCGCAGAAUGGCUGCAACUCAACUUUGGUUUCUUCUCGAGCUUUGCCUCUAUCUUCGACUUCUACGCACUCAACCCUUAUUUCUCUGGACUGGAGGCUCUUGACCUCCUGACUCCAAAUCAGAUGGUAGAGUUGCUGCUGUUGACUCUCCCAACUCCACCAGAGAAAGACGUUGUCAUCAGCCAAGUGUUUAACUUCCUGACGGAGUCACCUGCAGCCAGGAAGUACCCAGAGGUCCUCAGCGCUUUGGUCAGGCUCGCUGGAGAGAUCAAUCCUUCCUGCGACAUCUACAAAC
ensembl:lncRNA